rnacentral:rRNA from 1 species
AGCGAACGCUGGCGGCAGGCUUAACACAUGCAAGUCGAACGCCCCCUUCGGGGGGAGUGGCAGACGGGUGCGUAACGCGUGGGAAUAUACCUUUUCGUUCGGAAUAACUCAGGGAAACUUGUGCUAAUACCGGAUACGCCCGAGAGGGGAAAGAUUUAUCGCUAAAAGAUUAGCCCGCGUCUGAUUAGCUAGUUGGUGAGGUAAUGGCUCACCAAGGCGACGAUCAGUAGCUGGUCUAAGAGGAUGAUCAGCCACACUGGGACCGAGACACGGCCCAGACUCCUACGGGAGGCAGCAGUGGGGAAUAUUGGACAAUGGGCGCAAGCCUGAUCCAGCCAUGCCGCGUGAGUGAAGAAGGCCUUAGGGUUGUAAAGCUCUUUUGUGUGGGAAGAUAAUGACUGUACCACAAGAAUAAGCCCCGGCUAACUUCGUGCCAGCAGCCGCAGUAA